rnacentral:rRNA from 1 species
CUAGCGAGACUGCCGGUAAUAAACCGGAGGAAGGUGGGGAGUGACGGUCAAAUCAUCAUGCCCUUAUGACCUGGGCUACACACGUGCUACAAUGGUUGGUACAACGAGUUGCGAGUCGGUGACGGCGAGCUAAUCUCUUAAAGCCAAUCUCAGUUCGGAUUGUAGGCUGCAACUCGCCUACAUGAAGUCGGAAUCGCUAGUAAUCGCGGAUCAGCACGCCGCGGUGAAUACGUUCCCGGGCCUU